ACUCUCCAGAAAGCUGGCUGGCUGUUGGUGGACCAGGAAAAGGAUCUAAUGAGGAGACUCAGCCUGUAAUCACCAUUCUGCUGUGCACCCUUGGUUUUGUGUUCUUCUUGAUAAUUGGACUGAUUUUCUUCAAGAAACGCAAAGCAGUCUUGAAAAAUGAGACAGUCACAGAUCUAAACAACAC